UACGUAGGGGGCGAGCGUUGUUCGGAAUUACUGGGCGUAAAGGGCGCGUAGGCGGUCCUUCAAGUCAGGCGUGAAAGCCCCGGGCUCAACCUGGGAACCGCGCUUGAGACUGGCGGACUCGAGUUCGGGAGAGGAUGGUGGAAUUCCCAGUGUAGAGGUGAAAUUCGUAGAUAUUGGGAAGAACACCGAUGGCGAAGGCAGCCAUCUGGACCGACACUGACGCUGAGGCGCGAAAGCGUGGGGAGCAAACAGG
rnacentral:rRNA from 1 species